rnacentral:rRNA from 1 species
UUAAAGGUCCCGCCUGCCCAGUGAUAUAUUUUAACGGCCGCGGUAUUCUAACCGUGCAAAGGUAGCGUAAUCACUUGUCUUCUAAAUAAAGACCAGUAUGAACGGCUAAAUGAGGACAAACCUGUCUCCUGCAACAAAUCAGUGAAACUGAUCUCCCAGUACAAAAGCUGGGAUAAACACAUAAGACGAGAAGACCCUGUGGAGCUUAUAAACAAAAGGUCAACUAAAUGAGUCUAAUAACCAACCAAUGACCCCAUGUUUUAAGUUGGGGCGACUUCGGAAAAAAACAAAACUUCCGAGAACAGGACCACAAACCCCUCCUGAGGGAUACAUCCCAAAGCACUAACAUAAUAUGACCCAGUCAAACUGAUUAACGAACCAAGUUACCCCAGGGAUAACAGCGCCAUCUUCUUCGAGAGUCCAUAUCGACAAGAAGGUUUACGACCUCGAUGUUGGAUCAGGACACCCAAAUGGUGCAGCAGCUAUUAAAGGUUCGUUUGUUCAACGAUUAACAGUCCUACGUG